rfam:Sus scrofa isolate TJ Tabasco breed Duroc chromosome 1, whole genome shotgun sequence.
CUCAAGGUUUUUCUAAAGACCACUCAAUAGUGAAGGAAAAAUAAAU